UACGUAGGGUGCAAGCGUUAAUCGGAAUUACUGGGCGUAAAGCGUGCGCAGGCGGUUUUGUAAGACAGAGGUGAAAUCCCCGGGCUCAACCUGGGAACUGCAUCUGAUACUGGAUGGCUUGAAUUCGGGAGAGGGAUGCAGAAUUCCAGGUGUAGCGGUGAAAUGCGUAGAUAUCUGGAGGAAUACCGGUGGCGAAGGCGGCAUCCUGGACCGACAUUGACGCUGAGGAGCGAAAGCUAGGGGAGCAAACGGG
rnacentral:rRNA from 1 species